rnacentral:rRNA from 1 species
AGAGGGGGCCAGCGUUAUUCGGAAUUAUUGGGCGUAAAGGGCGCGUAGGCGGCCAUGCGUGUCUUCCGUGAAAUCCCUCGGCUUAACUGAGGACGUGCGGAAGAAACUGCGAGGCUUGAGUCCGGGAGAGGGGGGUGGAAUUCCCAGUGUAGCGGUGAAAUGCGUAGAUAUUGGGAGGAACACCGGUGGCGAAGGCGGCCCCCUGGACCGGUACUGACGCUGAGGCGCGAAAGCGUGGGUAGCAAACGGGAUUAGAUACCCCGGUAGUCCACGCCGUAAACGAUGGGCACUUGGUGUCGCGGGUAUCGACCCCUGCGGUGCCGAAGCUAACGCAUUAAGUGCCCCGCCUGGGGAGUACGGUCGCAAGGCUG